UUGGUGUGCCGUUCGUGAGUGUGAAGACAUUCGAUCUGAAGAGGAGAAGCGCCAGAUUAGAAGCUAACUGUCAGCUUAAAAUUUAGUGAAUACAGAUCUAGAACUGCAUGGUGCAACGGUCGAUCAGUGUUGGUAUUACUACACUGUUUGGCUGCAGCUUAACUUAAUAAAUGAGCAGAAAUUUGACCGAAACCAUGCAACUUUGAGAAUUCAGAACAUAGACCUAUCUGGCAACCAUCUAAAACAGGAGGAAGGCCAGCCAAUGCAUGAUAAAACAACAGCUGCAACAAAGGUCUAUGUACUACUACUGCACAAGUUUGACAGAGUUGUGCAGUCUACCACGUAUUUUGAAUCUAGCAGUAUUAUAAAGAGUUGAAUUUCAAGAAACACUGUUGAAGUAUAACAAAGCUGAACAAAGUUUGAGCCCAGUUGUAAAAAAUUUUGCCGGAAUUCAGACAAACUUGAACUGCCUUGAUGCGAAGAAGGCGUCAGGAGUGGCUACAGUCAAACCAAGCAAGACCGCCAACAGUAGGCCAACAACCGAACCGUGAUCGAGUAGGAAUUCGCGUAUCUUCUCCAACAACGAGAAUCUUUGUUGCAGAAGACCAUCAUUGUAGCUUGAUAUGUAAUACAGAACUGGAAACUUUUGCUUGGGACAAAGAAUAUAAAAUAUUCAGGAUUUUGUUUGACUAUUUAUGUUUGACAAGGUUAGAUUGACGUUUGUCAUCUGUGCUUAGAGAUACUUUACAUGCACAAGGUGCUGUCGUCUUUGCACCAUGCAUGUUUGCUGCACCAUACAACUUAAUUAAAUGGGGUUUUUGUAUA